rnacentral:misc_RNA from 1 species
GUCAAAACCAAUGGUAAACCAUUGAAAAACAAGCCUUCUCUGCUCUUCAAGCAAAGCAUGUAUGGCUAGUUUCACACUUUCCAGAUGUUUCAUUGUAAUUCUUCUCCAAGAACUCCCGAGUAGAGUUAAGAGUUUCUACCAGCCGCAUUGGCUUUGGGGGCUGAGAAUGUACCCGAUGGAUCUGUUUUGUAAAGUGAGGGUACACCUGUGUGUGGGUCAAAACCA